GCAGGCUUGGCCGAAUGGUUACGCCGUCCGAUUAGUAAGCGGAAGAUCAUGGGGUCGAUUCCCAUAGAUGGGA
rnacentral:tRNA from 1 species